rnacentral:rRNA from 1 species
GAUGAACGCUGGCGGCGUGCCUAAUACAUGCAAGUCGAGCGAACAGACGAGGAGCUUGCUCCUCUGACGUUAGCGGCGGACGGGUGAGUAACACGUGGAUAACCUACCUAUAAGACUGGGAUAACUUCGGGAAACCGGAGCUAAUACCGGAUAAUAUAUUGAACCGCAUGGUUCAAUAGUGAAAGACGGUUUUGCUGUCACUUAUAGAUGGAUCCGCGCCGCAUUAGCUAGUUGGUAAGGUAACGGCUUACCAAGGCAACGAUGCGUAGCCGACCUGAGAGGGUGAUCGGCCACACUGGAACUGAGACACGGUCCAGACUCCUACGGGAGGCAGCAGUAGGGAAUCUUCCGCAAUGGGCGGAAGCCUUACGGAGCAACGCCGCGUGAGUGAUGAAGGUCUUCGGAUCGUAAAACUCUGUUAUUAGGGAAGAACAAAUGUGUAAGUAACUAUGCACGUCUUGACGGUACCUAAUCAGAAAGCCACGGCUAACUACGUG